rnacentral:ncRNA from 1 species
AGCAAGGUUAAAAGCCUAAGCGAAAGCAACUAGGUCAUUUUAAUAAGUGAAAUGGGUUAAGUUACUUCUAUUAGACCCGAAGCCAGGUGAUCUUUUCAAGAUCAGAUUAUAAUAGAUCAAACAGUUGAAUGUUGCAUAAUUCUCCGAAGAGUUUUGGAAAGCGGUGAAAUGCCAAUCUGACCUAGUGAUAGCUGGUUUUCUAUGAAAUAUAUUUUAGUAUGACAUCUAUUCAAUAUUUAUGGAGGUACAGUACGGUGAUUCCAUAUAAAUAUUAAAUUUAUUUUUAAUAGAAGUUUAAGUUGCGGGACUUUGAAAAUCUUACCCUUGGAAAUAAAUCUCGGAAUUACAUACAUAGAUGACAGAUAUUUAGACUAUUCAUGAUAAGUUGGAUAGUCAAGACGAAAACAGCCAUGAACACAGAUUAAGGUCUCAAAUGAUUAUUAAAUAAAAUAAAGGAAGUGACAAAUCGAAUACAGUUGAAAAGUGAGCCUGGUAGUUACUACUUAUAAUGAACAUGUAUCAACGUAUCAGCCCUUAAAUUAUUGCCCCGAAGAUUUAACAGGUCUAAAAUAAUCAACCGAUAUCAUAUUAAUUUUGAAGAUAGAUUCUUAUAUUUAUAUUUAAAAUUUAGGUAGUAGAACAUUCGGAUAAU